CGAACGCUGGCGGCGUGCUUAACACAUGCAAGUCAAGGAGAAAGUCCCGCUUGCGGGACGAUUAAACUGGCGCACGGGUGAGUAAUAUAUAAGCAAUCUACCCAUAGGUUUGGGAUAACGUCGAGAAAUCGGCGCUAAUACCGUAUAAUGCAGCGGCAUCGCAUGAUGAUGUUGUUAAAGUUCUUGAAACGCCUGUGGAUGAGCUUGUAUCUGAUUAGCUUGUUGGUGAGGUGAUGGCUCACCAAGGCUAUGAUCAGUAGCUGGUCUGAGAGGAUGAUCAGCCACAUUGGAACUGAGACACGGUCCAGACUCCUACGGGAGGCAGCAGUGAGGAAUAUUGGGCAAUGGGCGAAAGCCUGACCCAGCAACGCCGCGUGGAGGAUGAAUGUCGUAAGAUUGUAAACUCCUUUUAGAGGGGACGAAAAAACAGGUUAGAAGCCUGAAUUGACGGUACCCUCAGAAUAAGCCCCGGCUAACUAC
rnacentral:rRNA from 1 species